UCUCUACCAAAAAUACAAAAAAAUAGCCGGGUAUGGUGGCACGUGCCUAUAAUCCCAGCUACAUGAGAAUCACUUGAACCCGGGAGGUGGAGGUUGAAGUGAGCCAAGAUUACAUCGUAUGCGUGGCAUGUGGACAGAGAUUUAUAGCCACCUUUUAUAUUCCAUCUUGAUGGGCUGGGCACAGGUCACUCAGAAGAGGAUUCCUUGGAGCACAUACAUCCACAUCUACCAAGGACCAAGAAAGGGCAUCCAAUCAUCACUCACCCGCUGCCUGAUUUUUGUGACUUAGUUUGCCACCUCCAGUUGUGAGGCCAUUGCUUCCCAAAGGGCCCUCCUUUCCCCUCCUGACUCCCACCAGUCCCUGAGCCCCAGAAACAUCCCCUGGAGGGAAAUGCUGGUUUCCCUAUGGAACUUUUGGGAAGAUGGGGGGUGAUUGGAGUACACAGAUGUAGGGGGUGGCCGUCAUGUUUGUUUUACAUGGACAAGGGCAUGAUGGAUGCUGGACCAAUGGACAGCAACUUAGUGUAUGGCCAGGGCUAACCAAGCCUGUCCAUAUCCUGCUGCAGACCCCAAGAUCUGCAGAAUACCCAUGAUUUGCACUUUCAUUCCCUGAACCACCCACCCUCAGCUGCCCCAUGACUCCCUCAUGUCUCCCAAAUUGCUCUCACCCGUGGUCUCUCAACUCUUGCAUGUUCCAUCUUACCCUGGACUAAACUGUCCAGCCUCUCUCAACUGCCAGUCUUGACCUGCAGUUGUUUUUUUUUUCGCUUAAAACAUUGUGUGUUUUAGAGAUGGGGUCUAUCUAUGUUGCCCAGGCUGGUCUCCAUCGGUGGUACUAAGAUAACUAAGACCUCAU
rnacentral:lncRNA from 1 species